UACAGAGGGGGCAAGCGUUAUUCGGAAUUAUUGGGCGUAAAGGGCGCGUAGGCGGCUUGGCAAGUGGAUGGUGAAAUCCCUCGGCUUAACCGAGGAACUGCCGUCCAAACUGCUUUGCUUGAGACCGGGAGAGGUGAGUGGAAUUCCCAGUGUAGCGGUGAAAUGCGUAGAUAUUGGGAGGAACACCAGUGGCGAAGGCGGCUCACUGGACCGGUACUGACGCUGAUGCGCGAAAGCGUGGGGGGAGCAAGCGGGGG
rnacentral:rRNA from 1 species